rnacentral:rRNA from 1 species
AGGAUGAACGCUGGCGGCGUGCCUAACACAUGCAAGUCGAACGCGCUCCAUUCGGUAGCAAUACUGAUGAAGAGCGAGUGGCGAACGGGUGAGUAACACAUGAGCAACCUGCCCCGAAGACUGGGACAACACCGGGAAACCGGUGCUAAUACCGGAUAUCCCUAUCGGACCGCAUGAUCCGAUAAGGAAAUGUUUUUCGCUUCGGGAGGGGCUCGUGGCCUAUCAGCUAGUUGGUGGGGUAAUGGCCCACCAAGGCAUCGACGGGUAGCUGGUCUGAGAGGACGAUCAGCCACACUGGGACUGAGACACGGCCCAGACUCCUACGGGAGGCAGCAGUGGGGAAUCUUGCGCAAUGGGCGAAAGCCUGACGCAGCAACGCCGCGUGGAGGACGAAGGCUUUCUGAGUUGUAAACUCCUUUCAGCAGGGACGAUAGUGACGGUACCUGCAGAAGAAGCACCGGCAACUACGUGCCAGCAGCCGUA